rnacentral:lncRNA from 1 species
AGUACUACUGGUUAUCUAAUGGGAACACAUUAGUAUCUAAAUAAAAGAAUAGGAAAAUAGGAUAGAGACGAUAAGCUGCUGCAAUAAAUAAAUAAAUAGAAAAAAAGUAAAGAGAAGACUUUUAAAUAAAAAGAACAUUUACCAAUGAUACAAAAAAAUGAAAACUAUGACAAAGUUAUUAAAGAAAGUCACUAAAGGAGAGAAAGUUGUGAGGAAGGAGGCGAGCGGAGACGCGCGUCUCUGGAGUGAUUUAUUUGGCAAAUCAGGACACAAUGAGCGCAUUAUGACGCUCUAAUAGGAGAGAGUGUUUGGGGAGCCGCUAAUUGGCUGUGAUUGAGUUGCAGGCUGGGAGGAGAGAGCUGGGAUCGCGCGCGUCUGUCAGCCAAUCACCCGCUAAUCAGAGAGCGCAAAUUAAAAGAGUGCGUGUCUGGAGUCGAGGACGGGAUGAUGGCGCAGAGCCCGAGUGAUUGUGAACUUCACCAGUCAUCAGAGAUACAUGAGUCCUGAAUGGAGGUCCAGAAACUGUACUGCAUCCUCAGAUAUGAGAGUGAGGUCUAACGUUUACUGGACACGGAGAGUGAAUUAUGAUGUUUUACACUACAGUCUGGAAAGUCUCCAGAAAGACAAAUCUCAAAACUGAGAAAAUGUGAAGAAAGCGACUGGUCAAGCGCAGCUCGUCCUGAAGGUGUCACAGAUGGGACGGGUUCUGUUGGGCACCUGACGGGCCCUGGGCCCCUUCCCUCCCAUCGGACCCCCGCGGAGCACAGCCCCCUGCCUGCUUUUUGAUUUAAUUAAAGGGAAGAGGGCGCAUCAAUUUCAUUGGCGGUGCAGAGAGAUGACAGCACACAAAUUGAAAGAAAGCAGCUCGGCCGGCGGAGGAAGAGGAGGAGGCCAGCGCUUAUCAUUAACACUGAACACUGUCCUGUGUGCCGUGUAACAAGACUAGAAACAUUAUGAUCCUUCUCCCAUACACAGACCGACAGACACGUCUGAAUGGAAAGUCAGCGUCUGCUUCACUGUUCUCCUGGUGAUUUUGUCACAUAAAAACAUCACACACAUACUGAGGUUUCAAAAAGUAUAUGAACACCUGUAAACAUCAUUUUACAUUUCUUCAUUGUGGAUCUUUUUUUUUUUUUUUUUUCAGAACUAGCUUUUCAACAGGUUAAACUGUUCUAGCAUUUCAAAGUGUACUAAAUGCUUUGUUUUAAAAUGUGUUUGAUCUUCUUUCCUUAAAUGACACUGUGUAAUCUAAUCCAAAUACUUGUUUUUAUUAUUCUUUGUCCCGUUCGGUAACAUUUUUCUUGAAAGUAUUUUUUUAAUGCAUUACUCUUGCCUUACAAUCCAUUGUAUGAUCUCAUAAAUAAUUGCGACCGCAAACAAGCACCGCCAGGCUUCAUUCACCUGACAUCUGUGAUUUUUGAACACUAAUAGAAAUUCAGUUUAAUUCCAGAAGUCAGUCAUGAGCUCAGACUCGCUGCUUAUAGGGCUGGAAACAUUACCUGCAGUUUUAAAAUAGUUGAAUCUAAAGAGUCAAAUAAGUUCAAAUAUUAUUCAAAGGGAAUAUUCCAUCUAGAAGAAGAAGAGAGAGAGAGAGAGAGAGAAAAAAAAAAAAAAAACGUAUCCUGUAUGGUUAAUAAAGUUAACAGAAAGGAAACCUGAACAAUAAUAAUAAUAAAAAAAUAAAAAAAACCUUUACAUAAGAACUACUACAAUGGCAAAAUUUGUAAAAACUAAAAUUAAAGUGAAACCAAAAAGUAUAAAAUUAAAAAAAAAAAAAAAAAAAUGAUUGAAAAUAUCAAUGAAAACUAUAAUAGUGUCUCGUUGUUACUAAAAUAACUGUGGCAUGCUGUUAGUUGGUUAACUGAGCAACAUGCUCUCUGCUUCUUCAUGGUAUCUGUGUGACAAACAUCAGUCAGUUUGAGCCUGAUGCUGCUUUAGAUGAAGAUGAAGAUGUCUGACUGACUUUGAGCAAUAUCAUUGAAGUUUGGGGAACAUCAUAACAUUUAGAGAAGUGAGGGUGCAUUUGAUCUGUUCUUCCUUUGUAUUUAUUACUGAAUCUUAUAAAACGUCAGUGAAGUGUCUCCGCAGCAGUCUGGAUCUGUCUGAAGCAUACUAUGUCCUAAAAGUCUCCUCAUAAACCUGCCAAUAUCCAAAAUGAAUGACAUUUCUAUUACGAAAGUGACAGAAACACGCUUUUCACUUCUUCCGAACAAAAUUACAGGCUUUCUCUGAUUAACUAGUGACAGCUUUAUUUGAGUACUGUGGCAUUAUAACUAGCUCAAAACUCAGGAGUGUGUAAAUAAAGGAGGAAAUAAAGAGGAUCAGACGGUGUUUACGCUCAUCGGGUGUCACUGAAACACACACUGGGAUUGUGGGUGUUUUCUUGAGGUGACGCAGGUGAAACUCAGAACCGCUGCUGUGAAGCUGAGACUCACGUGAAAUGAGAUAUCUGAGCAAACAGACAUCGAUAUUAACAGACAGAUACAUUCAACUCUGCUGAGGCUAAGGAAAUCAGAUCAUAAACAGGAGAGUAAAUAAAAACAUGCAGAAAUACAAGAAAAUCAAUUACAGUGAUUUUUUUUUUUUUUUUUACUUUAUUUUAAAGAUUCACGUGAAAGCAGAUAUCUGAGCCAACAGACAUGAAAAAGAUAACAGAUUAAAAAUGCUUUGCUAUUUGUUUACCAAUAAAGCUUCAUGAAACACAUUUAGCUGCAUUUCAUUUUGUGACAGAUUCUGUAACAUGCCCGUAUGAUGCUACUAACACUCAUUCAUAAUGAAAGAAGUCUCUUGUUCACCAAGCCUGUAUUUAUUUGAUAAAAAAUACAGUAAAAACUGUAAAAUUGUGAAAUAUUAUUACAGUUUCAAACAGCUGUUUUCUGUGUGAAAGACCUCCAGUCUUCAGUGUCACAUGAUAUUCAGAAAUCAGAAUAAUAUGAUGAUUUACUGCUCAACAAACAUUUCUGAUUAUCAAAUCAAAUAUAACAUUAAAAAUGUCUUUACUGUCACUUUUGAUCAGUUUAAUGCAUCCUAGAUGAAUUAAAGUAAUAAAAAAAAAUAAAAAAACGUAAACAUUUUAAGUGCAUAAUGUCUAUAAAACAAAGAAAUCUACUAGGACACAAUUAAUUUUCAGUGAGUGGAAACGUUUUUUUUUUUUUUUUUUUUUUUUUUUUUGUCAUAUAGUUUAUCAGCAUGCUAACAGUAAAAUAAAAUAAAUAAUGAAUCAAAUAUGUGUAAUUCAGGAGCACUAUAUGUAUAAGUGAGCUUCCAGUCUUUGUAGACAACUGUCUAUGUAGGGAACAGAAGGCAACAAGAGCAGUAUUUCAGCUCAAGUCGUCGGUUUGCCAAAAAUACAACUGAAUUAAAUUCAAAACUACUACUUUACUACUUUACUGGCAAGACUGUAAAAAAUACAAUAUUGCCAAUUAUACUCUAGCACUUCCAAGAAGGCACGCUAUAAACACGGGUUUAGCUCAUGAUCUAACUGGGUGGAGUUGAAUGGUUCGCAUCCAGAGCUCUCCGCACACGGGGACGAUCAGCUGUGCGGUAGACAGUGAAUCUAAACGCGCGCGGCGGUGAGCGCGAGCCCCCGGAGGGCGAAUAUGGGACUGAACGGAGCGCGCUGCUGUACUGCCGCUUGGCUUUGAUUGUUGUGAAGACAGCAGCAGCGAGACGCGCCCGACUCCAGGCUUUUCCCAGCAUGCCCGCGGAGAGUGACACUUCCUCUGCAGUCAGAAGACGUGCGCUGAAGCGCUGCCAGCAGAUCUCAGCACCGGCCUGACAUCCAUCAGCAGCGAGCAGCUCCACCGCGGCGCCCAGCGGGAACACACUCCACCUGCGCCCGUCUGCGCUCACGCUCGGCCCGUGUGAGUCACGCGCUGCCACGCUCCGGAGGUAAUGAUGUAAUUGAGCGCUCA